AUUGGAAGGCAUGGCCUGAAGUUGUGGGAGGGGCUAUAGAUCUACUUAAGGGACUCCCCCCUUCCCUUACUUACCUUCGUUGGUCUAGACGAACAGGGUGAUACUCGCCAGCCUUUUCCCUUCCGGCUUCCUGUUGCGCUACGUCACUUCCGGUGAGACGCGGCGCCUGGUUCAAACGUCACAUCGUGAGUAUCCGGGACUCCCCGGCACUACCGGCUCCACAGGCCGACCGGCUCCCCCAGCUCGACGGGGAGGUGAGCGGGGGGAAUUAUUCACUGGGCAGCACAGCAAAGACGGG